GCCUUCCACUGCGCAUGCGUAGUCUGAGAGUCCUGCCUUAGGGCUUGGUGUGGAGUGCUGCUUGCUACAGGGACUCAGCCAUGGCAGGUAAAAGCAGCAAACCCAAGCGUGGCAAAGGAAAAAGCUCCAAAAAGAAAACGAAGAAGGUGGUGAAGGAUGUGGAUAUCCUCAGCCCAGCUGCCAUGCUCAACGCCCAUUACAUCUGCCAUAAUGUCCCCGCCUGCCUGGAGUUGCGGGGCUUUCCUUGGCCUGGCUCCCCCAAAAAGAAGGGGAAGAGACGAAAGUAGCUGGCUGGAAAGCAAAGGACGCGAUGAAAGCCGAGCUCCCCCUGAUAAGAAGAGGCUUUUUUGAACUUGAGACUCAUACAAUAUCUCCAGUGGUUAGCUCAAAUAUUUUGCCGUAAUCACUGUAGUGUCCACACAAAGACACUCUUCUUAUAGCUCAAGCUUACAGUGACGAAUGGCAAGUUGCACUAGUGCUGUCGUAAUUUCAGCUGUGGCACUUAGAACUUAGUUCUGUGCGGAAUAAAACAUUAAGUCUCAGCAGUCUGA
rnacentral:lncRNA from 1 species